CACGAAUAUCCUCCAGUGCCUGGGAGAAAACGGCUAAUCGAAAACGUCCGCGGCAUACAUCCAUUCUUAAAACUUGAGUGGCUGCUUUUCUGGGUGGAAAAGAGCGGUAUCAGACAGGAGAUGGGGUUUCAUCGUGUUAGCCAGGAUGGUCUCGAUUUCCUGACCUCGUGAUCUGCCAGCCUCGGCCUCCCAAAGUGCUGGGAUUACAGGCUGUUCCCACCUGCGUCCACUCCCCGGACUUCUCCACCAGUCAUCAAUUAAUCCUGAAUCACUUGCCUCCUCACAGAAGCCUUUCCUGACCUGCCAAUGUAAAGUAGCCUGUCUCACUGUCUUCCCCAUCACCAAGUAUUAAUUAUCUGGGGGAAAUGUCUUAUUUACUUAUUGGUUUGUUUGUUUCUUAUCAACUAGGGUUGUCUCUCCCAGUUAGAAAGGACUCCCACCAGAGUUGGAAGAGAGCCUGGCAUAUAAUAAGUGCUCAAUAAAUAUCUGUUGAGAGAAUAAAUGAAUCAAAUAACAAAAAUAAAACUAUAAAUUAUAAGAAAUUAGAAGGGAAUUUAGAAAAAAAUGUUUAUAUAAUCUCAAGGUGGGGAGGACUUUCUGAAGUAAAAGAAGAAACCCAUAGCCAUUAAUAGGAAGAUUUGGUUACAUGAACAAUUAAAUUCCUACUAAGUUACAUUUUUAAAUUAUAGAUCAGAAGAAGAUAUUUUAAAAUAGAAAAAAUAUCCAGAGCUGUAUGGAAAAUGAACAUGCUGAUCACUGGUGGAGAUGUGAAUUGCCACACCCUUCUGGAAAGUUAUCUAGCAGUAUCUUCUAAAACAACAUUCACAUAUAUUAGACUUAGGAAUUUCAUUUUGUUGAAUUCUAAAGACAUACAAAUACUGAUGUCGGAGAGACCGUGAUUAUGAAAGAUUUUAAAAUUAGAAGAUUUAGAAAUACAUUGUUCGUUCCCAGUGCCAUUAUGGCCAGGUAAAUCUCAGGGGCUUUCUUAGCCCAGAAGGCAAGGCUGGAUCUUGAGGGGCAACUAGCAAUCUCUUCCAUCUGUCUGUAUUAACCUAGAGAGAUAUGGAGCAGAGAUUGACACUUACUCCUUCUUCCUUAGUAACAACACCUGGAUUUUAUUCAGAUGCUGUGUACCCAGCCAAAAGACUACAUUUCUCAAUCUCCAUUGUAGCUGGAUGUGGCUGUGUGAUCAAGUUAUGACCAAUGAGAUAUAAGUAGAAGUAGCUUGGCCAGGCACAGUGGCUCACACCUGUAAUCCCAGCACUUUGGGAGGCCAAAGCAGGAGGAUCACUUGCACUCAGGAGUUGGAAACUGCAGACCAGCCUGGAGAACAUAGUGACACCUUGUCUCUACACAAAAUGAAAAAAUUAGCUGGCUAUAGUGGCAUGUGCCUGUGGUCCCAGCUACUUCCAGCUACUUAGGAGGCUGAGAUGGAAGGAUCGCUUGAGGCUGGGAGAUUGAGGCCUCAGUGAGCCAUGAUCAUGCCACUGUACUCCAGCCUGGGUGACAAGAGCAAGACCCUGUCUCUCAAAAAAAAACGUAGCUGGGUGGAACAUCUGGAAAACAUCUUUAAAGAAGACUGACUCAAUUAGGAGGAGUGCCAUUUUGUUUCUUGCCCUCCACCCUUCUUCCUGCCUGAAACAGGUAAGGUGACUGCCGCUCUUUGGCCAUUGUGGAUGACAAACUGAACUUGAGACUGAAAGCCACGUCCUAUAAAAGAUAAAUAGGGCUGGGCGCGGUGGCUCACGCCUGUAAUCCCAGCACUUUGGGAGGCCAAGACGAGCGGAUCACGAGGUCAGGAGAUCGAGACCAUCCCGGCUAACAUGGUGUAAACCUCAUCUCUACUAAAAACACAAAAAAAUUAGCCAGGCGUGGUGGCGGGCACCUGUAGUCCCAGCUACUCCGGAGGCUGAGGCAGGAGAAUGGUGUGAACCCGGGAGGCGGAGCUUGCAGUGAGCCAAGAUGACACCACUGCACUCCAGCCUGGGCUACAGAGCAAGACUCCGUCUCAAAAAAAAAAAAAAAAGAUAAAUAGGAGCCCAGGUACCUUGUGACGCUGGAGUGUCAUAUUAGCCCUGGACUACUCACCUCCAGACUUGUUUUAUAUGACAGAAAAAUAAACCCUUAGUGUUUAAGCCACUAUAAUUUGGCAUUUUUGGUUAUAUGCAACUGAAUCGAAUACUAAUUGAUAAUACCAUGUUAUAAUGUUAAAUAUAAAAGGUAAGUUGCUAAGUAAAGCCAGAAGAAUAUAAACUCAAACGUGUAUAGGUGAUAGGCCAGUAAUACAGAAAGGUGGAUGAGUGACAGUAUAAAUAGUAGGGAUGCAGAGGACAUGUUUAAUUGGAAAGCCCCUGCAACAUUAAUGAUAUUACCAUGUGGCCGUGUGGAUUGAGAUCUUCCGGUUUUUCAUGUUAAAUUUCCCCAGUGUUCUGCAAACAAAACAUAUUCCCAGCUGUAUCUACAUUGCAGCCUAUCAGUUUGUGACUUUUGAUUUGUAGUAUGGUCUAAUAUUUAGAAAAAUGGAAUAAAAGGGAGAAGGAUGGAAGGGAGAAAAGAAGGAAGGGUGGACCAGCACUUCAGGAGGCCGAGAUGGCUGGACUAUGAGGUCAAGAGUUCGAGACAAGCCUGGCUAAUCUGGUGAAACCCUGCCUCUGGUAAAAAUACAAAAAUUAGCUGGCCAUGGUGG